UGGGUGUUACUUUGACAUAAACAGACAGGUGCUGGGGAGUGGGUGUUACUUUGACAUGAACAGACAGGUGCUGGGGAGUGGGUGUUACUUUGACAUGAACAGACAGGUGCUGGGGAGUGGGUGUUACUUUGACAUGAACAGACAGGUGCUGGGGAGUGGGUGUUACUUUGACAUGAACAGACAGGUGCUGGGGAGUGGGUGUUACUUUGACAUGAACAGACAGGUGCUGGGGAGUGGGUGUUACUUUGACAUGAACAGACAGGUGCUGGGGAGUGGGUGCUACUUUGACAUGAACAGACAGGUGCUGGGGAGUGGGUGUUACUUUGACAUGAACAGACAGGUGC